UACGUAGGGUGCAAGCGUUGUCCGGAAUUAUUGGGCGUAAAGAGCUCGUAGGCGGUUUGUCGCGUCUGCUGUGAAAACUCGGGGCUCAACUCCGAGCUUGCAGUGGGUACGGGCAGACUAGAGUGCGGUAGGGGAGAGCUGGAAUUCCUGGUGUAGCGGUGGAAUGCGCAGAGUAUCAGGAGGAACACCGGUGGCGAAGGCGGGUCUCUGGGCCGUAACUGACGCUGGAGGAGCGAAAGCUAGGGGAGCAAACGGG
rnacentral:rRNA from 1 species